AGUGAUGGCUUCAGUCACCAUGUAUUCAUGUCUCUGCAAUAGUGUAUUGAAACUCUCUAUGUGUUGAGCCUUGUGUUAAAUCACUUUAUUCCACAUGAUAAUGUAGUUCCAUGGUGAGGUUAUUCAAAGGUGGUUUCAUUGCUGUAGGAUAGUACUGAAGGCCCAGGUGUAAAAUACACGGCCCGCCACUGCUGUUGAUAAUCUCUCUUCUCU